GAGGAGCUCCUCCUUUCAGGAGCUCACAGCAAAGGCAUUUACCUGUAGGCUGGAUUGUGUUUGUUAAGAGUCCAUCCUCACUCUUGCUUAGAAAAAGAGAAGUUUGCAAAAGGUGGGAGAAGCAGCAGAGUCCAGGAAUGGAAGAAGCCCUGAUUUGGUGACGGUUCACUUCAACCUCAGCUCAAAGGUGCAACAAAGCUCGUGCCAGUGGUGGUUCAGAGAACAUCACCCACUUUUAUGUGGCCUGAAGGAUUUCUUUGCAGCAAGUUCACAAGGCUGAGAUUCAUCCAGUGGAUUAGAGAAUUGAACAUUCCCAAGGUGCAGAAGGCCUGACAACACCUGGAAUACAAUCAGGGACUUUUUCAGGACAGCUGCCCCCUGAGCCUUCCUUCAGCCCCAGGCCAGCUCAACCUUCCUGCACAAAAGGCAGCAAACAGAUCCCAAACUUCUCUGUGGGUCCUUAAUGCUGCAAUUCCCCAAGGCAAACUGAAACUCAGAGGUGCAGACUUUUAGUUCAGACCUAAUCUUUGGCUGUGCAGCCUGGUGAGGAGCUGAGGGCCCUCCAGUGAGGAGCAGGGAUUUAUUCCAGCAGCAGUCCCACCCUGGGAACGCAUUCCCCCAUCCUCAGCAGCCUCGUGUCCCUGCCGUGUGGCUGACCUUGAAAAUAUUGCUCUGCGUGGCACGGCCGAUGCCCAGGUGGAACAUUGCCCCUCUGGUCACCUCGAAGCAGUCCUCUGAAAAGCCAAAGAGUGCUCUUGAAAAAGCCAAGCACACAAACAGGGGCCAGCAGAACAUCUCAGCGCGUCCAAUCCACCUGGAAUGGCCGGUGGAGGCAGGGAAGCUGGGUGCUGCUUGGCUAAAUCCCACACGAGCUGGAGAAGCAACCCACUGGUUUCUUCUGCCUCUGUCAGUUUCUUUCAGCAUUUGGCAGCCAGCGGUACUCAGCCCCUUCUGGAAGGUUCCACUCCAGCCUCUCCUCUGCAGUGGCACCUUUUGUGAUCUGGAGACAGAAAACAAGAGAUCAGGGUGAGAGCUUGCAGAAAAAGAAAACAAAAAAAGAAGGAAAAUAAUAACAGUUUAAGUUGGCAGUAAACCAAAAUACGCUGGAAAGACAUAAAAUGUUCUGUGGCGGAUUUCAGAAAUAAGCUUUAAAGGAACAAGAUAAUAAAGAUUUAAAGGAACAAGACAACAGGGUGCAGGCGUUCCCUGUGAAAUUGCCAGUGGCAGACACACAACAAUCAGAGUGGUCCCCCUGUGCCGUGCAGCACAUACAGUCUCGUUGCCUUUUGGGGAGAGACCUGAGGCAGCAACAGAGGCAUAGAACUUCAUAAGGCAGCGAGAGGUCCAGGUCUGCAAGAGAGAGAUCCGACAGUGGCUCUUUGUGCUCAACAUGUUCUCAGUUGUGUCAGUGGAGCAGUGCUGCCUUCUGGAAACACAGUGUGCAGGGAGGAGGCUAAAGGGAGCAACUCUGUCAGGUUUAGAGCUCUGGCUGAGGGAAAACUCUGUGCCACAGACACACAUUUCAGCGCUGCUGCAGUGGGAGUGCUCUGCUGGAUGCCACUUCCACCGAGGUGUCACCAUCUGGAAGCUCAGCCAGAAGUAACAGCUACUGCCUUGGGAUGAAUGUGAAUGGAUUUUGAGUCACUCACAUUCAGAAAAGCAUCUUGUUCUUGGGCUUAAAAAUCCCCUCAGCAUUGUUCUGAGCAGGGAUGUUCCAGGGCAGGAGCUGAAUCCGCUGCUCUGUCUUUACAGAGGGUUUGCUGAGACUCACACGAGCUCCCUGGCAGACCAGGCUGAGGCACUACCUCAGGUGCAAUUCCUGCUGAAUGAUUCAAACCCAGCCCUCCAGAAGUGACAGAUGUCACCCGAAGAGAUGCUAUAUUAAGCAGAGUGUGUUUAACUGCAGCAAUCACUUAAGGCUUCACACACAUUUCAAGAGAGUCGUGCUGGGCAGAUUGGCUACGUGCUGUGUCAGAGGGGUUUUUAACUCAUUUUUGCUCAUUCUCUGCACUACAAAUCACUGGCAGAGUUCAAAACUCGGCAGCAGUGUCAUAGAAAAGCAUUUCCUUACCUUCCCAGCACCACUUUCUCCACUCACAAUGAUGGACUGGUUCACAGGGUCCAUCUGCUUUUGGACAUUCCUGUAGGUUUGCUCGGCCACUGCAAAGAUGUGAGGUUUUAAAUCCUGGCAGUGAAAGAGAAUAUCCACAUUUAAGAGUACAGUAACCACACAGUUCGGCAGCAAUAGAUAGCAAGGGUCAUCUCAUGUUUACCUGAAAACAGCACAGCUCUUUUAACAGAACUAAUACUUCACUAGAAAUGGGGUUUAUCCUGGGGGUGUGUUUUGCUUAGGUGAAUUUGGAGCAGUCUGACACCUGGGCUCUGCAGAAGGACAGUGAUUUCAAACGCAAGGGUUACCUGAGGACAAAGUGCAACGUGGUACUCCCUCAUGAGCUCGGGUGAGUAGAGGCAGGAGAAAGGCUGGAAAGGAUUUAAAGCCACCAGGCUGCAGCCAGCAUUUGUGUAGAACAGGUUGGCUCUGUAUCUUGCUUGAAGACAUUUCAGAACUGAAAAGCAACACCUUCUGUCAGCAUCUUUUGCAAAGUGUGUUUGACUCUUGCUGUGCCCGCUUGUAGCAAAAGUCUCAGGCGUGUUACCUAUCAGGUUUAAUAAGGAUGAGGUGAUCAAGAGAGGGAUGUGGGUGUAAUAUGCAUAACUCCUGUGUUCAUGGUGUUAGUGCAGCGAGAGCAGGAGCUGCCACGUGUCAGUGGGCAGCAGGGAAAGGGAUCCCUCAGCAGACACUCCCUGGCUGCUCACCUGUCCUGGUGGUCACCGGGUUCACUUUGGUGAGGUCGUCAAAGAGAUGCAGUUUCUCUUCAUCACCGAGGAAAGCUCCAACUUCUUCUUCAAAUGAUUCACUGAGGUCAUUCUGGAUGAGAGAACCUUCCCUUUGGCCAUUUUCCUGGAGGGGAUGUCAGAUCAGCACCAGUGAAAGGUGACAAGCUGGACUUUCACCUCACCCCCUGUUCAAGCUCUUCUGCUGCUUCCAUGUCACCGAAGUUCAGCCUCGGCAGGAGCCAGAGCUCAGGAUGUGCGAGCUUCUCCUCCUCCCAGCGGCCCUGCCCCUGCUCUGAUGUUAGAAAAGUGUUCUGGCUGUGAGCAAAGGCACUCAGAGAGCGUGGCCCUGGGCUCACACUGCACUUCUGCACAGACACACACCAUGUUCUUGCAGCUGGCUCAUGUCUAAGCCUCUGCAUGUCGUGCAUUCAACCCAAGCAGUGCCCUGGGCCCAGGGAAGCAGGAAGGGCUGGCUGCAGGUACAGCUGGAAGCCCCUGAAGGCCAAAACAAAUGCAGCUUUCCCAGCAGGGACUCUCAUUUUCAGGGUGAAAGCUGCAGAGUGCACGCAUCACAGCCAGGGUGGAGGAAUGGUGCUGGGAGAAGAGCUGCCCUGCCUUAGCUGGAGUUUUGUCCCCUCUGAAUCAUUUAAAAUACUCAAAUCUCAGCCUCUGGGCUCCUGUGUCCUUGACAACAUUAUUUGGAAGGACACAUUUGUGUGUAAUGGAAAACCAGCCAGAAGAGAGAUUCCAGAACCUGCUUGCCAUUUCUGGGGAAGGGAGAGGCCAGGAGAGAAAAUGAAAAAUGGAAAAGAUGCCUGUCCUGAUUUCUGCAUCCUGUACACUCCUCUCCUGAUCUCCUUCUCUUUGACAGAAAGUUCUCCAAACUAUCCCUACUCAGCUGUGCCACAAGUAAACCAAUGAACAGCACCACCUUGUUCAUACAGAAAACACAAUUUAGUUAGCAGCUAUGUGAGCUGAGCUCAUUAAUACAGGGGAAAUGCACUGCAAACCCCAUUUAGCACAUUCCUU